AGAUUCCAUGAUGCCAUGGGAACUCUCUCUGUUUCAAACUGACACAAUCAUGUGGGAUCAGGAGUGCCAUAAUAGCAGUCAAACCCGACUACUGUACACAUAAGUAACACGUACAAUGAACUGGUAAAAAUCCAGAUAUUUGAGACUACUGAAAACCAAGAUAGUCUCAUGGUUUAAAAAAACACUGCGGUGUUUCGUUAAUCUAUCACUGAUAUUAAGAAAGAAAAAAAUCUUGAUGACCCAGAUGAGAACAUGAACAUGAAUCUGAUUAGGUAAAAUGUAGUACAACCAGUACCUUUUUUUUCUUUUAAGGUACAGGUUCAUUUCAUAAUUUUGUAUUUGUUAUAUACCGCAUGGGAGUUGCCUAAAGAACUAAAAGAGAGAAGUUUAGCAUAGAUCGGACAACAAAGCAAGAGGAGCAAGAGGGCCAGCAACGAAGAUUUCGAAAUGUCAGCUGGUCGACAGUGUUGGAGUCGAACAACUUCCAAAUGAAUGGGUUCAACUUCACCACCGAAAAGGCAGCUCCUAAUUCUCUUUUUAGAGAGAAAAAAUCAGUAGUAAAAGAAGAAGAUACUGAUAAUAACAAGGGAAGAUCAUUCAAUUCUAUUCUAUACUAAAAGUAGGGUGCGCACCUGCUCCACCGUUCAUAUCAACAGUGAAGUAUUUGCCUCUCUUUUUUCCUCAAAUCUUUUUUCUCAAAUUCUUUUAACGGUAAUUUGGAUUGCCUUUCCUUUCUAAUUUCAGAAAAGAGUUCUGAAAAAGGCCAUUUCUUUACUAAAGAGGAUUCUACAUGGUGAUUUGAAAACGCAACCUCUCAUAGGAAAGAAAGUACCUUUCUCAAUUAAAAAGUACAUUUCUUAAAAGAGAGAGAGAAAGGAGAAAGGGGCAAAUAUAUAGAUAGUUGCAAAUUAAAUACAGCAAAAGUAAAACAGAAAAAUAAUAAAAAAA